rnacentral:tRNA from 1 species
UGCCGGGUGGUGUAGUGGUAACAUACCUACCUACAUCCCUCACGUCUCCGUCCCGGCGGAUCGUUCUGUAGCAAGCUACAGAGGGUGGUAGGGGUUGGGGGUUCGAUUCCUCCCCUGGCAA